GAUGAACGCUGGCGGCGUGCCUAAUACAUGCAAGUCGAGCGAAUGGAUUAAGAGCUUGCUCUUAUGAAGUUAGCGGCGGACGGGUGAGUAACACGUGGGUAACCUGCCCAUAAGACUGGGAUAACUCCGGGAAACCGGGGCUAAUACCGGAUAACAUUUUGAACCGCAUGGUUCGAAAUUGAAAGGCGGCUUCGGCUGUCACUUAUGGAUGUACCCGCGUCGCAUUAGCUAGUUGGUGAGGUAACGGCUCACCAAGGCAACGAUGCGUAGCCGACCUGAGAGGGUGAUCGGCCACAUUGGGACUGAGACACGGCCCAGACUCCUACGGGAGGCAGCAGUAGGGAAUCUUCCGCAAUGGACGAAAGUCUGACGGAGCAACGCCGCGUGAGUGAUGAAGGCUUUCGGGUCGUAAAACUCUGUUGUUAGGGAAGAACAAGUGCUAGUUGAAUAAGCUGACACCUUGACGGUACCUAACCAGAAAGCCACGGCUAACUACGUGCCAGCAGCCGCAGUAA
rnacentral:rRNA from 1 species